UCUCUUGAUUUACCUAAAUAAGUUUUCUUAUGUGUUUAUUAUUUGAAUGAUUAAAAUAGCAAUAUUUGUUAUAGCCCAAUUUUUUCCCAAGCUAAAAGCCCGGAAAUAAACAAAUAAGACUCAAAAUGUUAACAGUUCAUUUACAAACCCAAAAAAACAGACCCAAAAUAAAAUAAACCCAAAACCCAAUUAUGCCAGCCUAAUACAACCCUAGCCCACAAACAAAUUGUUGCAGCAAAAAAGGAGAAACCCUAGGGCGCCGUUGGUCGCCGCCUCUACCCAUGCGCGCCGUUCCAUCUCCUCGCACGCCAUCGUCACGCCUCUGACACCUGCAGAGAGGAGUAAAUGCAAAGCAACAGAGGAUUACAAAGAACUAAAGAGCAAAAAACAAAAAGAUGAAGAUAAAACGAGUGUAAUAUGGCUAUAAAAGCCAGAGGAUUCUCAUUGUAACUUUUUUUUUUACGAACACCCAUCAGUAAAUUGAAAAUCAGAAACUGAAGUUCCAAAAGGUUGUUCUUCUUUAAAAAACUGUUCUCUUCGUUCUCUUUUUCAUAGUUUUUAUUAUUUUUAUUUUAUUUCAAAUCUAUUUUAAAAUAAUUAAAAAAAUAAAAAGCGAAAAGGAAAGAAAUGCCUGAAUCGGCUCUUGGACCGGCCGGCGAUGGUCCUUUGCCGUCGUCGGAUUCGGGCUCGAGAGGGGGCCAAAUACCUUGUUUUCUCCUCGACUUCCCUUUUCAAAGUUCAGGCACUCUGAAUAUACCUCAAAUGCGUGUAUCGGGGAUUCCGUCGCACGACGCCGGCCACCGGCCAUGGAGGUGAUUAGGAGCGGCCGAGAAAAGGGGUUGAAAGGAUUUGGGAUCCUCAGUUUUUUUGAAAAAAGGGAAGAAAGAAAUGGGGGCUGAUUUCUCUUGUUUAGGGUUUUAUUUUUUCUAUUUAUAUAAGAUUCUAAACUGUGC
rnacentral:lncRNA from 1 species